UUAAAUAGUGAUUCUAGUAUUUGAGGACUAGACAGCCAAUGACACAGUAAAAGAAUAUUUCACAACAUCAAAAGCUAUUCACAGUAAGUGGGAAGAUGUGGUUAUAAUGUAAUUAUACAUAAGAUAAAGAAAUAGUAGGUCCCACAUCAAAACUUCAAUGGCAGCUAUCAAGGGCUAGGAUGUUAAGAUGGUUUUAUUUCUUUUGCUUAUCUAUAUGUUGUAAACCUUUUACAAUUAACUGUCUCACUUCUGAAUAAGAAGAACCAUAACUUUGACGGCAUAUUCGAAAGAUGACUCGGAGCCCACCGUGACCCUCAGCAGCAGUGAGCUGGGAUGAGCAGGUGUCGGGGCUCCGGGCACAGGCGAGCAGAGCACCUGGGACGCAUUCCUGCCACACACGGUGAGCCUGAAGGAAACUGGCCCUCCAGAGCCAACCUCCACCUGCAGGGAACACGGCCGUGAGAGGGCAAGUUCAAGGGCUGAACAUGGAGCCAGAGGACAAGACAUUCCUGCAGAGUCGCUCAGAGCAGGGAAUGUGAGACAGACGUGGCCUCGGCUCUGUCUGCUUGGCACCUCUGUGCCUGGCAAAUGUAGACCUGACACAUCCCUUCCCAACCUAAAGUCCCUCAACUCGCAGCAGCCAGGUGGUGGAAGCAACCAUGCGCCCACAGAGACGAAGGUGGAACAUCACUCAGUCUUAGAAAGGAAGGGGACUCUGCCAGUGGCUACAACAUGCACGAACAUGGAGACAUCACGGCGCGUGAACCGAGUCAGACACAAAAUGACACACAUGAAAAACAAUCAUCACCUUCAACCAAUUUGGGCGCAGUUUUGAAGAACUUUUGAGGAGAAUAUUUUCAACAUCUAUUUCCUCCAUGAAGCCCUACGGAGGCCUCUAGAGUUGGUCCUACAUCUUGAAUCUUGAGGAAGCUGCUGAGAGAGGAAAUACUG